AACUUAAAUAUCGAGUAUUUUUCUUUAAUGUGUAAUCAACCUUUAACAUUCAAGAAAGAUUAAAAACAUGAUCGAAUACAAAAGAAGGGAGAAACAUGUAGAGCAUAAAAGGGAUGUGUAAGAUUAGGAAAAAACAAAACAUAAACUUAGCUAGAAAUCCAGAUUAAAAACAUGAUCGAAUACAAAAGAAGGGAGAAACAUGUAGAGCAUAAAAGGGAUGUGUAAGAUUAGGAAAAAACAAAACAUAAACUUAGCUAGAAAUCCACGUGUUUCUAACUUAAAUUGAAUGUUAUAGUUGAGAUUCAUCCUUCUUGACUAUAACAUUUUGGCAUUUAGCGUAGGACAGGUAAAUCAAUCACGUACCAUUUUUAGAAAUGCAAGAGAUAAGAAGGAUGCU
rnacentral:lncRNA from 1 species